GAGCACUAGCGUCGUUCUCUCUCCAUUCCUCUCCCCCACUUCCUCUCCCCAUUCACUCCGAGGAAACGGACGACACCAUUAAUGGCGGCCACCGACCUCUCCCUUCCCGUCUCUCUCUCUCCCUCUCCUUUCUCUCUAUAAAUAUUGACGCCAAGCCCCCAUGAAUCUGUUCCCCCGGCCACCCUAGCUCGCCCCACACCCUCUCCUCUCUCGCCACGCUCGCCGACGCCCUGCUAAUCGCCAACCGGAGCCACCGGAGCGCCGCCGCCGUCCAGGACCGCCGAAGCGCCACUAUCGAGGACCGACCAGAGCACGCCGACCGCCUGCCCUGCUAGCCGCCUGCCCUGCCGCUAGCCGCGCCCCUGCUCCCUGGCCGACCCCUUGCUCUUCGAUUUCGUCCCUGUGCAAGAAUUAGUGGAGCAAGGUUGAAGAUGACAUAGAUUUUGUUCUAUUUUCUAAACUAUGUUUAAUUCAGUUUAGAUCUCCUGCGGCGAUUUGUUGUUUAAAUUUGUAUAUAUCUUGAAAUCGAAAUCAUGAGAAU
rnacentral:lncRNA from 7 species